UACAGUGCAGUGGCUAAAUCUGCAGUCUCCAACCACACCAAGCUCCAACCCAGAGGGUACCUCUCCAUCACCCAGGAUGUCCCAUCUGCCCUCUCUCCUGCUGCCUCCAUUGUAGACAAGCUGCCCGAAUGCGUUAUCAAUCGCAAGGCCCGUGCCGUGUACCCCUGUGAGGCAGAACACAGCUCAGAACUGUCAUUUGAAAUAGGAGCCAUUUUUGAGGAUGUUCAGACCUCAAGGGAACCUGGCUGGCUGGAAGGGACCCUGAAUGGCAAGAGAGGGCUGAUUCCACAGAAUUAUGUCAAGCUGCUGUAGCUCCUGGCCUCAGGGGGCUCCCGCUGAUCCUGGCACCAUGCACCAGCCUGGGAACACCACCAAACACCACCAUCACGCUCAGGAACUGCAGAUCACCACGGGCACUCCAGGGCUGGGGAGGGGGUGGACUGUGCAGACGUAUGUGUAAGGAGAGCAUCCUCAGCACAGGUGGAGUGGAUUCUCACCCGGCAGGCACUGGGGCUUGCGAUUUUUAAUUCUCCAGCCUGUGGAAUGGGGAGGGCAGGGCCACUGGUGACAUCACUGCCAGGCAUGGAGGAACCCAGCUCUCCAUGCGCCUGCUGUUGAGUUUUCAUGAGAACUGUGCUACUCUUGUAUUGUAUGUCCAGGACACAUGUGGCCUUGUGGGUGCAGGGGAGUUGGUCCCAGCCUGGAGAGAAGCCAAGAGAAGCCUUGCCUUCCUGCCUGCCUCCCCGGCUCCCCGGGCCUGCUCACUGGAGCUGCACCAAGCUCACCUGUGUGCUUACAGCAGUCUUUUCCACGUGCUCACCUGGGUGCUGUUUGCCCCAUGCCACCUUGUUGCCAUAAGGCCCUUCUGUAAAUGAAAUAAAAUGUAAUUUACUAUUU